CCACUCCAGGCCUCAGGUGCCUCCUCUAUAAACUAUAAAAAUGGAUAAACUAGCUUAUCCAUUGCACCCCAGAUGCACUGACCCCUGCAAUUUUCCCACAUGUGGGAAACUAGAUGGCAUAAUUUGUGGUAGUGGGAGACUGUGAUCCCACUUUCCCUUG
rnacentral:snRNA from 1 species